AUGAUCCAGUAGCAGCCAUUAUCGGGUAAUAUUCGUUCGUCUGCUUUUUGUCUACUACAUCGUGAAAUGCAUCUGUAUGGCUCAUUCUUCAAGAGAUCUUCAAAACUGCUAUAUUUUAAUUUUGGUAUGGUGGUCACAAUUACUACCGGAAAGUGAGACCAAAUGAAAACUUCUUAUGUUCGUGUUCGUAUAUCCAGUGGGACCACUUAAGCUAGCGGGCGGUUUAAUUUCUUCAACAAAUAAGCCGAUGUUUUUAUCUUACAGUUUUUUUUGUUAGUAUGGCUAUAACACUUUUGGUUGAUGGAUCCAAAUGAAGACUGAUGCUGUUCGUUGUACAUCCAGUGGAACCGAUCCCGGUUGGUUUUAGUUGCUUCGAAGAAAAAAUGCGAAGAGACAGUUAUCUGAUGCAGCUUCAACAGGCAGCAAACAUUUCCUUGGUAUACUGAAAGGGCGUCUUCAAUCCAGUCAAAUUGGAAUAAAGGAAAAUUGGUCUAUCUGAACUUCGAAGAAUUGCGGCCUAAGAGAUACCAAUGGAAAAAUUGAGCCGUCGAAGAAUUGAGAGCGAAGAAUUGCGAACGAAGAACUCCUGGACAAAGGGUAUUCCGGACACUGCUAGUGACGAGAGUAGUCGCUUCUUUGGGUUUACACCAUAUUAAAAUGGCAUUAUCUAAGUUUUGUGAGUAUUUCGACCUGAAGGAAGGAUUUAAAGCCUUUGUAAUUAUUAUGUUGAUGUUUAGACUAUUAAGCUUUGCUGCUGUGCCUGGCAUAAUUUUUCCGAUGUUCGAUUAUAGAAACGAGUUUGAAAAUUUUCAAGUAGGUCUUCUAUUUGUUAUCGCGUAUGCUGUUUGGAAUUUUGGGUCUACUAUAACGCUGAUUAUUGCAUUGAGAGGACUGUAUAAGAAUGAUGCAGGUCUGCUGUUUCCAAAUUUGGUUGUGAUGCCAAUGGAGAUCAUUCUAACCGUUGUGUCUGGCAUCGUUCUUCCUCUUGGCGCAGGGAUACCACUCUUUGCUUUGUAUUUGUUGGUUUCAUUUGUCCACAUUUAUCAUUUCAUGUGUGUUUACAGUUUGUAUAAAAAAUUUAAACGUGAAGAAACUGUUACUCCAGCUAAUGCACGGAAUUUAAUUAAUUCUGUGUAGGAUCUUCUUCACGAAUUCAUUUAUUUGUGUUUCAGGAUUGUUUUGACUAACUCACUUUCAUUUUUAAUGUAAUGAAUUUUUUUGUGUUCUAGAGUUAUUCUUAAGUUUAUGUAUACGUUGUCAUUCUAUCCUGGUAUUUAAAGCUAAUCGUUAUGUAUAAAUUGUACAUUAUUAUGUUGUGUAUGUUACAAACAUUGCGACCGAUGUAUAGUUGUUGUUUCACUUCACUUCAUCAUGACAUUUGUAGUACUUUUUAAAGUAAAUAGUUUUUCACGAAACUGGAAAAAUCCAAAAUCCCUACCAUGAUCACACUUUCACACAGAACAUGCGGAAGAGUUCGUUCGCUCAACUCAUGCAAAGCCGUAAUAGUAAAAACUCGACCUCAUCGAUGAUCGCUGUUGGAGGGAAGAUUUUUUGCUUGCGCAGACAGGCAGAUGA